rnacentral:rRNA from 1 species
UACGGGGGGGGUAAGCGUUGUUCGGAAUUACUGGGCGUAAAGGGCUCGUAGGCGGCCAACUAAGUCAGACGUGAAAUCCCUCAGCUUAACUGGGGAACUGCGUCUGAUACUGGAUGGCUUGGAUUUGGGAGAGGAAUGCGGAAUUCCAGGUUUAGCGGUGAAAUGCGCAGAUAUCGGGAAGAACACCCGUGGCGAAGGCGGCUCUCUGGGACGGUACUGACGCUGAGACGCGAAAGCGUGGGGAGCGAACAGG